CCGGAAGUCCGGCGAAACGGCGGAGUGCUGCUCUUUAACAGUGAUGUAGUGGCCAACCAGACCUACAUUCAUGAAACUAAUCAGUUAGUCUUCAUCCUUGAAUUCCUUUCCGUUGUAAAUUUGAAAAAUAUUGUUUAAAAACACUCCAAAUAAAGCAUGGAUGGAGCCUUUGUGAGCUAAUGUUUGCUUCUCAGGCUCUCCCGGCUGCAAAGUACAGUAUAGCUAACGCACCCUUUCACAAUAUGGCGGCCUUAAACCGAGAUUUCACCUUUUCAUCGGUCAUUUAACUAACUUUUUCCCGUAGCUGUAAACAGCUUUACGGCUAACGUACCAUUAAAUAACCAAGCUAGCCUCAUCACGUCAAUUUAAGACGGUUUUGUAGACAACAGAAAUGUUGUAUGGCUCCCAACUGCGGUGGGACACGAACGUUAGCAACUUGUUCAUCUGUUGUUUGACACUUGUUCUAAACGCGAACCGGAAGUCGUCUUUUCUUUGGUCAUGUCGUGCCGGUUUUUCCACCUUGAGAUGCCAACAUCACUACUUCGCUUCUUUAAGCCUGCUUCUCAGUACCGAAGCCUACAACAACACACAGACAGACAACAAUGCAGAUGCUGACAUUUCAAUAUCGAUUCAUAGCUCCAGUAAGGAGAUGAAGAAUUGUGGCCGCAGGAGAGCAGGGAAAUUCAUCAAGCUCAAAGCAGGGACCAGCAGGGCAACGGCAGGCUAAAUGUCACAUCUGCCCUGCCAAUGCAUGCCGACAGAGCGCCCUGACAGCCCUGCAAAAACCCCAGGCUGCUGCAGCACUGCCUGUCCAUUAUAAAGCACCCAUCAUGGCACACAAUAGAUGCCGUCAUAAUGUCACCAGAGUGCUUCGCCUCCAGCAGACAAUGAGCACCACCACCGUCGCCAGGGUGGGAAUGUGUGUCCAUGUGUAUUUGGAAAGAUAACGCAGUAUAACCUGGACCUUUUCUCAGCCAACCCAAGAGCUUCCUUCUCAUUGCUCCCUGCUAGGCUUCCCUCUUCUGAAACAACUAAGUCAUUCCUUUUACUUUAUGACAGAUUGAUGGGAGAUUGUUGGCAGUGUCUGUGGCUGUCUGCUUUGUGAUGAAUCUGUUUUUCAUACAUUUUUGAAUCUACAUAACUGGCAUCAUAUGACAUAUUUAUUUUUUUCUGAAUUACAAGGAAGAGACCUGAAAGCCAUGGGGGGAAAAGGAUAAGAAAAAUGUGACAGUUAUGGAUGGAUUAUGCGUCAUCAUUGACAUUUGCAGAACAUUUUUAUCGAGCUGUAUUCAUUAUCUGGUGAAUUACUCCCUUUUUAGCACCUAAUCAGCCUGCCGCGGAUUAGCUUCAGCUCAUGUAAAAUUUAUUUCAUGCUUCAGCUUCCAUGGAAGUGAGGCAUGAAGAACUACUCAGACCAGUGAAUGUGCCACAGGCAUGCAAAUAAAUGACACUUGGGGUAGUUUGCGAGUUAUGCGAGAGUAUCAUAACAAGCAAAUAUUUGGAAAUUCUAUAGCGUACCGUAUUUCACCAAGUA